CAGGUCUCUCACAUCCUGGGAACUGGAAGCCAUGAUUGAACAAGGUCUAAAAUGAGCCUGUGGAUCAGAAUGGCCUGGUACUUUUUCCGAUAGAGUGCAAUCCAAAUACCACAAUGGCUAGCGUGUAGGUUAGAGUGUGGAGAAGAAGCCUUAAAACACUGCAGUCGGCUUGUUGCUACGAGUGGAACCAAGGAAGGGGAUGAAGACAGGAUGGAGUUGACCCUCAGAAGGAUGCACCAGAGACAAGGGCAGAGGAGCCAAAACAGAGCCACAGUACUAAAUCAGGACUGAAUCACACCUGUCCUGCUGAUUUGGACUGUGCUGAUAUAGUAGGAUUACCUUCUUUCCUUUUGUGUGUAAGAAACUGAAGCACACAGCUCUAGUAACUUAUCAGAACCUCAUGCUCUGAUAGUUCAAAUCCAAAGUGUUAGUUAUUUUUGAAUCCCAUCCACCACUUUUAUGUCUUUGGGGUUAGAACCCAGAUACUCACAAUAUGCUAGGUUUGCAUUCCAUUACUGAGCUACUUGCUCAAGCCUCUCUAGUUCUUUGAUGCUUUCUCCAAACAUGAGUAAGAGCAAUGCUUUUUCCUCUUCACUCAGGGAAAAUUAACAGACGCUGACUCCGUUGAAGAGCCAUUGGGCAAAGGUGGGAAGAAAUAGAACAAUACAGCCCCUGUAACAGAAAAAAAGUUGCACUAAAGCCAAUGCAAUAAAUGGAAUCAUUUCCAAAUGGCCAGUGUUAGAUACUCAGCAAAAGACUUAUUAAAAACCCUCACGGAUAUAUUGAAAUCCAGAUGAGGGGAUGUCAAGAGGAAUGAAGGUCUGAUGUACCUGGUGGAGUGGUGGGAAGUGGACACUCCUAGCUGGACACAGAGGGCACCUGUAACAACUGAGUUCUCAUAGGCAGUUGACCGGCACUUUCAUAAUCCUGUAGAAAGUGUGUGGAAAUGGAUUUUACAGGCUCUUCGCUAAGGACAGAGGAACAGUCUCAGACUAGGUUGAGGGCAUGGAUAUGAGAGACUCAUGCUCUGGCUAGCUAAGAGCAGCUGGAAGUAGACACCACUGUUUGUUCAAUUGCUUGACAGAAUCCUGGACUCGUGGUGCCAACAUUAAACAGGGUUGAGAUGUCAUAAAUUCCUUGAUAUGAAGGAAGGGAAAGAAUCCAAAGACUUCGAGAUAGGAAUGCUGGAGUGAAUUUAUCAUGUGUGACUUUCCUUCUCCCUCCCUAACUACGUCUCCUGGGAGAGAGCAAAGAACACUCCUCUGGCCACAGUCUGGAGAUAUAGCCUUCCAAGGGGAACACAGCAAGUGCUCUCUGCAGCCUUGGUGAAUUGAGGAGAGAUUAGGUUGACACAGGCUCCCCAGAGGCAGUGGAAUUUGAAUGGCCCGCAGUCUGGAAGCCGACAUGAGAACUUUUCAAUAGCAGAAGGGGAGGCUGAAGGAAACUUUUUUGUUCCUUGUCCAUUUCCACAUAAACAUUGCUUUAAUCUGGGCAAUGAGAUUUCUCCUACUUCAGUUUCCCAGAUUCAAUGCUGAAACUUGAGCAAGUAAACUAAGAUUCCAGAAGGUAAGAUACUUUGGGAUAAGAACCUACCUACUCAACUCUACCCUACUUAACUUUUCAUAUUUUCCAAAACUAAAUGUGAUUAAAAAAAAAAAAAAUCCUCACUUGCCUUCAAAUGUCAUGACCUCCCCAACUUGUGAGCUAGACCUCAGUGAGACUGUUCUUGAUUUAGCUCCUUAACUGGCCCAAAUUCUCCGUCCUUGAGAAAUUACCCAAGGUGUCCACUCAGCUCUGCCUGACUCUACACAAGCUUCCGGUGUCAGGAAAAACAGCUCUGUCUUGUG